AUUUGAUACUGAUCUCAGUUGGUUUUGUGAUGUUCACAGGAAUCACAUUUUUGCUGACCUUGUCUUCUUUAAUGCAAUCAAAUAAGAGUAUACUUCACACAAACACUUCCGUUAUUCUAACUAAAGUAGAUGUAAGUCCAAACAUUGCAUAUGUCCUCAUCCUAGAAAGACUCUCAAUUUUCAGCCAGCCACAGAACAGUCAUAUUCAGUCAGCCAGCCACAGAACAGUCAUAUUCAGUCAACCAGCCACAGAACAGUCAUAUUCAGUUAACCAGCCACAGAACAUUCAUAUUCAGUCAGCCACAGAACAGUCAUAUUCAGUCAGCCAGCCACAGAACAGUCAUAUUCAGUCAGCCAGCCACAGAAAAGUCAUAUUCAGUCAGCCAGCCACAGAACAGUCAUAUUCAGUCAGCCAGCCACAGAACAGUCAUAUUCAGUCAGCCAGUUCUCCAGAGAGUAGCAGUAGCCACAGACCUGCACUUCACCUCAGCCUGUGUGAAACAUACUCACACUCUUUACCAGAGCCACUUGCCUUGCCUUGGGAUUCUGCAACCCCUUCUCUCUCUCCUUUCCGCCUCCCCCACUCCCUCCAUAUUGUCCUCCUGCCCGUUCCCCUCAAUGUUAUAAAUUACAAACGACACAAACCGCGGCCUAAUGCCCUGCCGUGGACGCCUUCCAAGCUGCAACUUUUUGGAAGGAACCAAAGGCCCAGGUUCAUUGAUAACACCAGGCACACUCUCUCUCUCUCUCGCUCUCACUCUCUCUCUCUCUCUCACUCUCUCUCGCGCGCUCUCUCUUGCGCACUCUCUCUCGCUCUCUCGCUCUCUCUCGCUCUUUCUCGCUCUCUCUCUCCCACGCUCUCUCUCGCGCACUCUCUCUCUCUCUCUCUGUCUCUCUCUCUCUCUCUCUGUCUCUCUCUCUCUCCUCCAUUUAGAGGAAAGGAGGAAAAACACCCUGAACAGAGGACGGGUGCUAGGGAGGGCCAAAAGACACUGCUUUAGAAAUCAGCUGAGAGCAGAGGGGGCCUUUCUCACUAUUUUAGCAGUGAAGCAGCACUAUCCUUCCACACCAUCUUUGUGAAAGACUAAUAGUAUCCAAAAGGUAUCAAGACUAAAUAAAGGGUUGAAGGGAUGUAUGCUACGUCUUUUAUUCCAGUCUAGACAUCGCUCAGGAUCCCAUUUCCCCAAGUUUGUGACUCGCACAUGGGACUAUUUUCUGAAGAGCAGGCACACAAAAA
rnacentral:lncRNA from 1 species